CCUACGGGAGGCAGCAGUAGGGAAUAUUGCUCAAUGGGGGAAACUCUGAAGCAGCAACGCCGCGUGAAGGAUGAAGGUCUUAGGAUUGUAAACUUCUGUUGUGAGAGAUGAUUAUGAUGGUGUCUAACCAAUAAGCACCCGCUAACUACGUGCCAGCAGCCGCGGUAAUACUGAGGGUGCAAGCAUUACUCGGAAUGACUGGUCGUAAAGCGUGCGUAGGCGGGGUAAUAAGUCAGAUGUGAAAUCCUGUCGCUUAACUCCCGAACUGCAUUUGAAACUGUUAGUCUGGAGUGUGGGAGAGGUAGGUGGAAUUCUUGGUGUAGCGGUGAAAUGCGUAGAGAUCAAGAGGAAUACCAAUUGCGAAGGCGACCUGCUGGAACAUUACUGACGCUGAGGCACGAAAGCGUGGGGAGCAAACAGGAGUAGAUACCCCAGUAGUC
rnacentral:rRNA from 1 species